CUCCCAGGAGUCCACGGGGCUGCGGGGUGCGCGGCCGAGCUCUCCCGGCUGUGGGCGCUCGGGUCUGUUUGUGUCUGUGUCCGCGCUUUUCCGGUUUGGACUUCGUUUCCCGCAGGUCCUGGGGGGACUCAUGAGCUUCAGGCUGUGGUUCAUUUUCCACUAGCCUUGCGGUUAUAGUUUUCCACAUGGGCUGAACCCAGGCCAGGAAUGAAUUGGAGCUGUAGCCACUGUCCUAUGCCACAGCCACAGCAAUGUGGGAUCCAAGCUACGUCUGCAACCUAUACCACAACUCAUGGCAAUGCUGGAUCCUUAACCUGCUGAGGGGAGCCAGGGACUGAACCUGAGUCCUCAUGGAUACUAGUUGGGUUCGUUAACCACUGAGCCAUGAUGGGAAUUCCUCCUCACUUUCUUUUUAAUCACCCUUGUACUUGCUUCUUUGAUUCAACCUCUUGAUUUCUAUGGGGACAGUCGUUUUAUUAUCCUUUCCCUCUACAGGGUUAAAAAAUAAUCUAUUGACUUUAGAGGUUACCCUUAAAUUUUUAACUUGCAUCUUUGAUUUCUAAUUAAUUAGUAUCUCAAAAAAGAUCUCAGAAUUCUUGAAGUAUAUUCUUCCUGUUGUUGGUGCUUUUAAUCUGUUUUGAAACACGAUUAAUUAAUAUUAUCACUUAGUAUACACUUAAACUUCCCGACCAAUUUUAUCUCAUUUUGUUUUUCUGGGAUCAGUUUGCUUCUUGCUAAUGUGUAUCUUUUAGAAAUUCUCCAGUGAGUCUAUGAAACAAUCCUCCGUCUGUGCCUUAAAAUGUUUUUGCCGCAUUUUUUUUUUUCCAUGCCCACAGGAUGUGAAUGUUCCCAGGCCAGGGACUGAACCUGUGCCACAGCAGUGAUCCGAGCCAGUACAAUGACAACACCAGAUCCUUAAUCUUCUGCAACACCAAGAGAAUGCCUGUUUGUCCCAUUCUGACUGCUGUUUUUCCUUUAUCAUUUUGAAUGUAUUAUUCCAUUGUCUUUUUAAAAAAUAUUAUAUUGUAGUAUAGUUGAUUUAUAGUGUUGUGUUAGUUUCAGGUGUACAGCAAAGUGAUUGACUUAUGCAUAUAUCUUUGCUAUUUCAGAUUCUUUUCCCUUAUAGCUUAUUACAAAAUAUUUAGCGGAGUUCUAUACCAUAAGUCCUUGUUGAUUAUCUAUUUUAUACAUAGCAGUGUAUGUUAAUUCCAAACUUAUUCCUCCAUCCCCCACCUUUCCCCUUUUUAACCAUAAGUUUGUUUUCUAAGACUGUGAGUCUGCUUCUGUUUUGCAAAUAAGAUCAUUUGUAUCAUUCUUUUAGAUUACACUUCUAAGUAAUAA